GAUCCCGAGCUGGAUCAACCAGGCGGUUGCAAGCCGGGAGUCCCACCAACGGCAUGGCCGCAUUU
rnacentral:tRNA from 1 species